rnacentral:rRNA from 1 species
AUUGAACGCUAGCGGCAGGCCUAACACAUGCAAGUCGAACGAGUGGCGGACGGGUGAGUAAUGUCUGGGAAACUGCCUGAUGGCGGGGGAUAACUACUGGAAAAGGUAGCUAAUACCGCAUACCAUCAGAUGUGCCCAGAUGGGAUUAGCUUGUUGGUGGGGUAACGGCUCACCCAGGCGACGAGCCCUAGCUGGUCUGAGAGGAUGACCAUCCCCACUGGCACGGCAACACGGACCAGACUCCUACGGUAGGCAGCAGUGGGGAAUAUUGCACAAUGGGCGCAAGCCUGAUGCAGCCAUGCCGCGUGUAUGAAGAAGGCCUUCGGGUUGUAAAGUACUUUUAGCGGGGAGGCGUUAUCCGCAGAAGAAGCACCGGCUAACUCCGUGCCAGCGGCCGCGGUAAUAC